rnacentral:rRNA from 1 species
AGUUAUAUGCUCAUUUCGAAGACUAAGCCAUGCAUGUCUAAGUAUAAGUUGUUAUACAACGAAACUGCGAAUAGCUCAUUAAAACAAUUACAGUCUAUGUGGGCGUACUUACUACACGGAUAACUGUGGUAAUUCUGGAGCUAAUACGUGACUUAACAUCCAGUUGGAUGUCACUUAUUGGAUAAGAACCAACCUAUGGCAACAUAGAGACUUGGUGAUCCACAAUAAGGUUGUGAAUCGCAUGGCGUAUGCUGGCGAUAUUCCACCUGAGUUUUUGACUUAUCAGCUAGACGGUAGGGUAUUGUCCUAUCGUGGCAUUGACGAGUAACGGGGAAUUAGG